UUGCCUGGCUGCUCCUCCCUCCAGUUUCAGAGCUCCUUGUUCAUCAAACUUACCUACCUGCUUACUCUGAAUUUUCUCCCCCCAGUUCAGUACUUUUCGGAGAACUAGGUUACAGCAUCAUCAGACCACAUAUGAGGCCAGAGGGUGACCUGUGUUAAGUCCGAGGUGUAUGGUAAUAACAGCUGCCGUUUACUGAGGACGUUACAAUAAACAACUAAAAUAUCAGAUUUAAAAGGAAAAACGGAAGUUUGGUUUUGUACACUGUGGCAGAAGCCUGUAGUCCAACUCCACUUGGCCCAAUUUAUUUUAGCAAAGUGCAGUUAUUUGUAUCAGAUGAACAUUAAGACCUUACUUCUAUUACUUUAAAAAGGUCUUGACCACCAG